ACGCUAGCGGGAGGCCUAACACAUGCAAGCCGAGCGGUAUUGCUUCUUCGGAAAUGAGAGAGCGGCGUACGGGUGCGGAACAUGUGUGCAACCUGCCUUUAUCUGGGGGAUAGCCUUUCGAAAGGAAGAUUAAUACCCCAUAAUAUAUUGAAUGGCAUCAUUUAAUAUUGAAAACUCCGGUGGAUAGAGAUGGGCACGCGCAAGAUUAGAUAGUUGGUGAGGUAACGGCUCACCAAGUCAAUGAUCUUUAGGGGGCCUGAGAGGGUGAUCCCCCACACUGGUACUGAGACACGGACCAGACUCCUACGGGAGGCAGCAGUGAGGAAUAUUGGACAAUGGGUGAGAGCCUGAUCCAGCCAUCCCGCGUGAAGGACGACGGCCCUAUGGGUUGUAAGCUUCUUUUGUAUAGGGAUAAACCUUUCCACGUGUGGAAAGCUGAAGGUACUAUACGAAUAAGCACCGGCUAACUCCGUGCCAGCAGCCGCGGUAAUACGGAGGGUGCAAGCGUUAUCCGGAUUUAUUGGGUUUAAAGGGUCCGUAGGCGGGCUCGUAAGUCAGUGGUGAAAUCUCAUAGCUUAACUAUGAAACUGCCAUUGAUACUGCGAGCCUUGAGUAAGGUAGAGGUAGCUGGAAUAAGUAGUGUAGCGGUGAAAUGCAUAGAUAUUACUUAGAACACCAAUUGCGAAGGCAGGUUACCAUGUCUUAACUGACGCUGAUGGACGAAAGCGUGGGGAGCGAAC
rnacentral:rRNA from 1 species